AUUCAUGUGGCUUCUGACUCAGCUCAGCCCUGGUGUUGUUUCUGGGGAGGGUCCAUGUUCUUGGAGUGCUGCAGUAUUCAUUGCUUUGUCAUCAGUCAGAUGGGCUGGGAAUCUGGAUUCUGCGACUGACUAGCUGUGUGACCUCUAGCAUGUAACUUAAUCUCUUUGGGGCUUACCUUUUCCAUCUGGAAAACAGAAAGAAUAAAACUCUCAGAGUUGGUAUGAGGAUUAAAGAUAACACGUGGGCAUCAUUUAGGCUGACAUCCGCUAAAAGUGUGAGAAAACAGAAAACCCAACUCAGUCUGACUUAACAAUAUGGACACUUGACUUCCAUAAUAAGAAGUCCAGAAGUAGGUAGGACCCAGGGAACACAACUGUUUUAUUUUUCUUCCUCUUCUUUUUUCUCUUUAGGCUAGUCAAGUGAAGCAAUGGGAGUGGAGAUGGAACAAAGAAAUCUGCAAUUGGUUGUGAUCAAUUAGUUGUAAACACUACUGCACUUGGACCAACCUCUUCCUUUUCCUGACUGCUUAGGAAGGAUGGAAUGUAUUUCCUUCCUUCUGGGAGUGUUUGAAUGAAGAUUAGACUCUCCUUGACCAUGAAUGAAGAGCAACCAGUUUUUUAGUAUACAGUGAUUUAGACUCUGGGUCUAGAGUGUAGAUAUCAUGGGCACUGUGAAAGCACAGAAGGAGAAAAGGUUUUUAUGUGAGUAUAUGGGAGAGGAAAUAGUUUAUUGUCAUAAGCUUUUUGGCUAUGGCCUCCAUUACAUCUCUAGCUUUUGGAAGGCACUAAAUUGAGGCCAUUCAAAUCCAUGUCCACCUAUCCUUUGCCCGUCACGAGACUGAUGGCUUAGGAAGCAUGUGGUCUAGGUACUAGAGAGGGAGCCUGACCCACCUACCUCACCGCUGCUGCUGAAUUUGUGCACAACUCUCUGACCUGGUUCCAUGUCACAAAGGGUUUCAUUCUCUCUGAUUCCCUGAAUCCCCAGCUCUAGCCGCAGAUCCUGGAACCCUAGCAUAUGCCUGAAGCUGAAUAUUUUACUUGCCAGAGUAAGAGUUUUUACAUAGACUCUGUCAUCUUCUACUGGCCCUCCUCUUAAACUGAGGCAGCGGCUGCUAGCUACUCACCAAACCUAUUUUACUUUCUUUUUCUUUUUUUUUUUUUUUUUUUGAGACAGAGUCUUGCUCUGUCGCCCAGACUGGAGUGCAGUGGUAUGAUCUCGGCUCACUGCAACCUCCGCCUCUCAGGUUCAAGCGAUUCUCCCACCGUAGCCUCCUGAGUCGAUGGGAUUACAGGUGUGUGCCACCACACCCAGCUAAUUUUUGUAUUUUUUGGUAGAGAUGGAGGUUUCACUAUGUUGGCCAGGCUAGUCUCUAACUCCUGACCUCAAAUGAUCCACCCACCUCAGCCUCCCAAAGUGCUGGGAUUACAGGCAUAAGCCACCGUGCCUGGCCCCCCAUUUUACUUUCUUCUUUAACAUAUAGUUAGAAUGAAAACAUGUUGAAGGGAUGAUGGCAUUAGAAAAUUACCACUGGCCACUAUCACAGUAAUAAUUGCUUUAGGCAAGAAUGAUCGAUAAAAGCUAAAAUUAAUGGGCAAAAGUAUGAUGAGAAACAGGAUAUUUAUACAAUCGCAAAGUGCCUCCCAAUAAGAUACUUAUUAAAAAGGUAAAAAUGGUAAUUUUCAGUGGAGAAAUAUGGCAGACACCAUAGUAACCAACUGAUCAAAGGGAACAUUGGCAUUAAUGGGACAAAUCAGCAUCACGUUUCUCUUGUCAUGAAGCACUGAGAAGGCCACAGCAUUGCUUCUGAAAUAUUGCAACAAAAAUGAAUAACUUGAAUCUAAUGAUGAGGAAACAUUGGAGAAAUCCAAACCUUGGAACACGCUACAAAACAACUAACUCGUACUCUGAGAAACAUAUCAGUGGACUGGAUUCCAAACAGUGGCUCAUGCCUGUAAUUUUAACACUUUGGGAGGCCAAGGUAGGCAAAUCACUUGAGGCCAGCAGUUUGAGGCCAGCCUAGGCAACAUAGGGAGACCCCAUCUAUACAAAAAAUUAAAUAAAAUUUAUCUGAGCUUGGUGGCAUGUGCCUGUAGUCCCAUUUACUUGGGAGGCUGAAGCAGGAGGCUCCCUUGAGCCCAGAAAUUUGAGGCUGCAGUGAUCUAUGAUCACGUCAUUACACUCCACCCUGGGCAGCAGAGCAAGGCCCUGUCUCUAAAAAAGGAAAUUAAAAAAAAAAAAAAAAACAUGUCAAGGUAAUGAAAGACAAAGAAAGAGGAACUGCUUCAAAUUAAAGGGGAUUAAAGAAACGUGACAGCUAAAUGUGACAUAUGAUUCUGAAUUGGAUCCUGAACCACAGAAAGGAUAUUAGUGGGCAACUGGCAAAAUCUGAAUAAAGUUUAUAGUUUAUAAAAAAAAAACAGACAAAAAACAUGUAGUUAGACCAUAUUUUCUUUCUUUUUUUUUUUUUUUUGAGAUGGAGUCUCGCUCUGUCACCCAGGGUGGAGUGCAGUGGCGCCAUCUCGGCUCACUGCAACCUCCGCUUCCCGGGUUCAAGUGAUUCUCCUGCCUCAGCCUCACAAGUAGCUGGGACUACAGGCGAGCACCACCAUGCCCUGUUAAUUUUUGUAUUUUUAAAAAUUUUUAGUAGAGAUGGGGUUUCACCAUAUUGGCCAGGCUGGGGUUAGACCAUAUUUUCUAACCAGCUUUCUUUGCAGUUUGGUGGGGCUUUGUGUCUGAAUUCUGGCCAAUGGAACCACGUGGAGGCCUGGCCCAGAACAUCUCCCUGUGGAUUCUCUCAUCUGGCAACUGGAUGCCUACACGAAGGGUGAUUUUGGAGUCAUGUGUUGGAGAUCACAAAGCUUUUGUCAGCCAGGUUCCUGAAUGACUGCUAGACACCAUGGGCUGAACUUUAUGAGCUCCAGCACCACCUCCAGCCUUCAGUGACUGUCUGGAGCAGGCAUCCGGAUGGAAGAGAAGGGGGACAACCAUGAACUUGGUGACCCACGGUCAGCCUGAUUUCCCUUGUGGACACAUUUAUGCCCAGUGUGCAUUCCUCCUGAGGUCUGUUCCAAGUCUGGAGGCAGCAGAGUAGAGUGGAGAGAACAGUGGACUUGGAAUCUCACCUCCCAGAUUAGAGUCCUGGAUCUGACUUUGAUUGCUGGUGCUGCCUCGGGCAAGUUACUUUAGCUGUGUGCAUCUCCAUUUCCCCAUGGAUAGAACAUGGGUUUUGGGUAGAAGUGUCUGAUAGCUGUACUGUGCUUUACGGUUCAUGAGCACGCACACAUAGGCCCAUAAUAUCAUAUCUCUGGUCACCCUGGCAGGUAGAUAUUAUUGCCCCAGGUUUCAGGUAAGAAGACUAAAGACCAGGGGUCAAUUGCUUGCUCAGAGUCCCACAGCCAGCAGCAGCCAGGCAGGACACCAAGUCAGAGUCUAGAUUCCGGAUCUUGCCCUCUUCCAAGUGUACCACAUUCUUCUCAAAGUGGCCUCUCAGGUCUUUUGUCCAGAAAAUUUUGAGACUUUGAUGAGAAGCCCAUAUCUGCACACUGGGGAUUAGGCCAGAUAACCCUGUGUGUCCUUCCAGGCCUGGUAUUGUGAGGCUGAAGCCUAGUGCCCCACACUCCCUUCCUCACCCCUUAGAGAAAGAUAGAGACUCCAGGGCCAGCCUGGUGGGUGCUGAACCUGCCCUGCUGAGCCAAGCCCAGGAGGCAGCCAAGGUCCUACCAGUGACCUUACCCUGGGGGCCCCUCCAGGUAGGAGCCUGGUUGGAAAAGACAGACCGACUUCUUCUGGGUUGGCUGGAAAAAGAUGACAUACUCAAAGCCUUGUCCUUCCACUUGGAUGCACCUGGUGAAGAUGCGACAGUCACCUUUGUCUGGGGAGAGAUAGGCAGUGUUGCAGCCGGAGAAGGGAGGGUAUGGUCAGGAUGCAGCACCAUUUGGUUGAGUCUUGCCUCUGGUACAAGAUUAAGGAGAGAAAACCAGAGGACACCAGGUCCACCCCCAGGGAGCCUUCCCUCUGGGAGCAGAGGCACAGUUGCUGUCCUCACAGAGCCUUUCUGUCUAGGGCAGAAACAUGCAGGAAGUGCCCUGGCUGAGAAUGGAGAUAGGAUCAGGGCCAGGGCAAGACUUUAAGAGACCAUAAGCAUUGAAAAUUGAAAAUGUAAUUACUCAUGUAACUCACAUAUAAUUCAAAAGAAUAAUAGUAAACAGUAAAAUAAGAGCAGAAAAGUCCAUCAAAGUUCUGAUUUUUUUUUUCCAAGACAGCUACCACUACUACAUCCUUUUUUGGAAGUAUCAAAUUCUUUGAAAAAAAAUUAUGUUGGUAUUCCUGCUUUGUUUGUGCCAUAAACCCAAGGGUAGUCUGUCCCCUGUACCACUCCUUCAUCACUAGGCAGGAAGACAACAUAUAUGAGUGAGAGAGACAGGGAGAUACACAUGCGUGCACACACGAGUGCACACACACACACAAGAAGGUGGAAGCUCUAUCAUUAGGAUCCAUUAGGAUCAUUAGGUGUUUCAGGAGUGCUGCUCCAGACCCCGCACAGCAGGGAUGAUGUGCAGGGCCUCAGUGGAAGGGGUGUGGGGUCCAAGGGCUUUCAUGGGGUUGGGGCGGAAGGCUUGGGAUGAGGCUUGAUAGUUAGGGAGGGGCAGUCAGUGAGAAGUCGGGGCAGGAGCUGGGCUGGCUGUCCUCCAGUGGGGACAUGCUUGGCUGGGAGCGAAGGUGGGCCCACCAGGGUGUGCUGCUUCAGAUGGGAGGAGGGGAGCUGGAGACCUGAGAGGACACCCGCCGCCUGUUGCCUGGGGCUGCAGCAUCAGGGGUGGAGUUGGACAGCAGGAAGAACUCGCUGAGAACUGGAAGGCGGUCUGUGAAGUUGCUUCUCAGUCUUAGAACACAGGGAAGGGCGGCUGGGGUGUGUGUACUCAUGGUCCUGUCCUUACCUGAGGAAACUGCCAGUCCAGAUGGGAGCUUGAGUCCCCGGAUGUGGUCUCUGUUGGACUUGAAGGAGGGCAGCUUGAUCCAGCCGCUAGACUUAGUCUUCUCCAGAAAUUCUUGGUACAGGCUCAGCAUGUCCGAACACCAGCUGGCAUUGGGAAGAGCAUAAUCCUUCAAGUCUGUCUUCUCUGGCAAGAAUCUUGAGAACUGGGCAGGAAAAAUCAGAAUGACUAGACAGCAUCCUGGAGGGGGGCUGCUGCCUGGGCUCGGGACCUCUAAACAGCUGUUCCUGGGUGCUGGGGCUUCUCAAUCCCUUCUGCCAGAGUAUCGAUCCAAGGGAAAGGGCCCAUAUUCCUUGCAGGGGGGCUGCGGACCCCUAUGGGUGACGGGGCAUAAGGAUGCUAAAGAGCAAGGGAAGGGCGGGCAGGGAGUGGGGCCAGAGAUGAUGGGCAUGCUGCUCGAUGUGGUGCCUUACCCUUGUUCUGCUUAAAACAUGUGAGCAGUUCUUUAAAGUUGACAACUGCUCAUAUUAGCCUCACUGUACAGAUGGGGAAACUGAGGGAAUACGGCCAAGGUUGCCAAGCAUGUGACUGUGAGAGCUGGUGGUCGCACUAGAUGCUGUCUCCUCUGCAGGGCAGGGUCACAGUUGUUGAGGACCAUUCUAGCAACCCCCACCUCAGGGGCUACUCCAGCUCUGCCCACUGCUGUGGGCCUGCCUGGGCAGGGUGGCUCCUUUGAAACACAUUUGGGCCCCCACAGAGGUGUGGUGCCAUGGCUGGGGCACAGACUAUGUGCCCAUCUGUGUGACGUAAGGAAGUCCUCUGUAGCGUCACCUGCUCAUACACCAGUCACAACUGUAGACAGCAUGUGAGCUGCUUGCCAAUGCCACAGAUGGGGUCCUCUGUCUGGGGAUACCCCAGCUUUGCUGCAGUAGUCUGAGUCCCACAGGAGGAAAGUCAUUUGUUGGUGGCCACACAAGACACAGAGCCAGAUGCAGGUCUCCUGGUAGUUUUAGUUUUGAAUGGGGGCAACUUGGUAUCCCAGAGCACUUUCUCUUUGCCAAAUCAAAUAGCUCCUCCGAACACUGCCCACCUGCCCUGGCCAUGGGCUGGGAAGAGGAGAUUUGGGGUGCUCCUUAAGCCCUAGGCUCCUGGGAAAACACUGCCCAUCUGGCUGAGCUGGGAACUCACCAUGGAGUCUGUGGAGGAUCCAAAUGCUGAGGCAGGGUUGAGUCUGGGCAGGAUACGGGGGGCCUCAAGAAGGCCUCUGUGGUGGCCAAGUCUUGCUGCCACCUGGAAGCAUCUCCUUAUCAUGGCCAAGUGCAAGGAUCCAGCCCUGCUUGGAUGGAGGGUCUUGGCUGACUCCCAAGGAGUGCUUUCAGCUGCACUUGGGGCCGCUUCUCUCCCUUCUGUUGCAGGCUUUCUUUCAGAGAGCUAGGCGAGGCUGGGCUGGUGUGCUGCAACACCCACAGAUGCUCGGCGCCUUUAGCUGGUCUAGGAGCCCCACCCAGUGCUUGGGGAGGGACAGAUGCUGCUUGGGCAUGAAAAGGCAGCAGGACUGGCUUGAGUUGCAAAAGGAGUAAACAAGUACAUAAACAAAUAGUAUGGGGUAUAUAGAGCCUUGGAGAGCUGCCUGGGGGUUCUGAGGGAGAAUCCAAGAAUAUUUCCAGAAGGAUAAGGGAAGCCUGUCCCUUGAUUGGAGGGUGCUGGUGGAGUGUUCUUGGUAUGUGCUCUGCAGUGUAUACCGGACUCUGAAAACUCUGGUAUGAUUUUGUGACUCAGAAAACCAACUCACAGCCUUAGACACCUCUUUUUUUUUUUUUUUUUUUUUUUUGGUGAGACGGAGUUUCAAUCUUGUCGCCCAGGCUGGUGUGCAAUGGCGUGAUCUCGGCUCACUGCAACCUCCGCCUCCUGGGUUCAAGUGAUUCUCCUGCCUCAGCCUCCUGAGUAGCUGGGAUUACAGACACACACCACCACACCCAGCUAAAUUUUGUAUAUUUUUUUUAGUAGAGAUGGGGUUUUGCCAUGUUAGCCAGGCUGGUCUUGAACUCCUGACCUCAGGUGACCUCCCAAAGUGCUGGGAUUACAGGCGUGAGCCACCGCACCCGGCCAACACCUCUUCUUAUAUCCCGGACAAGGGUUAGCACAGGAGAGUUUCACCUGCUGGUCUCUGGCUGGGGAUAGGAGUUGGAGGUGGGGGAGGGCUUGACAGGGAGGGCAGAAAAUAAUUUGGGAGGAAACAGCUUGGCAGGGAUACUCUCAUUUUUAAAUUGACUAAAAUAAAAGCAUGUUCUAAAGAUCAGUCCUCGCGCAGUGGCUCAAGGCUGUAAUCUCAGCAUUUUGGGAGGCCGAGUGAGACCUUGUCUUAAAAAAAAAAAAAUCAGAACUGUGCAAAGGUGGAAUCAUAACAGUGAUGAUGACGAUAAUAAUAGUUGUGAUGAUUAUGACAUUUUGGCAGGUUCCAAAAGAUGAAACUGAUUUAAUGCGGAAAUUUAAAAGAUUUGGUUCACCCUCUGUAUUUGGUUGCCCUAGAAGAAGACUAGAAUAUAAAUAUUUCCCCUCACCUCCUGCAAAGGUUUGAAUUAAACUUCCUCAAGGACUGGGGGAACCAUUUUUUUUUGUUGUUGUUAUUUUGUCAGAGUCUCACUCUUAUUGCCCAGGAGUGCAGUGGCACCAUCUCGGCUCACUGCAACCUCUGCCUCCCAGGCUCAAGCAAUUCUCCUGCCUCAGCCUCCCAAGUAGCUGGGAUUACAGGCGCUUGCUACUACGCCCGGCUAGUUUUUAUAUUUUUAGUAGAGACGGGGUUUCAUCAUGUUGGCCAGGCUGGUCUCAAACUCCUGGCCUUGGCUGAUCUGCCUGCCUCAGCGUCCCAAAGUGCUGGGAUUACAGGCAUGAGGCACCACGCCCAGCUGGAAGUUUUUUUGGUUGAUUCAGCCUCUGGGUCUAAGCAAAGAUAUUUGAGUUGGUUGCCAUCCCCAGAUAAGUGAGAAUAUCUGGCAGCACUCAUUUUCAGCCCUGGGCCGCAGCCGUUGCUGUGAGGCAGAAAUUAAAAAAAGAUAGUAAGUACUACAUUCAUUCACUCCAAGAAAAGUAACAGACAAGGCUAUAAGAAGGUCAUAGUGACCUAGUCUGAGAAGUAAAAGCCAAGGCCCAGAAUGUGGCAAGGCAAAGGUUAAAAAGAAAGGAAGAGCAAGUUUUUCUCUGCCUAGCAAGCUCACUUCAAAGACAAUUAUAAGAUAAUGCUCUUCGAGAAGUCGAAACCAAAGGAAUAGGCUCCAGACAUCCCCCGUCUGGAGCAAGGGUGAAGGAAAAAAAAAAAAGGACAAAUGUCUGUCUGUAUUUAGCCAGUUCUUGUUUUUUCUUUCCACGCAGCUACAAGGCCACCAGCUAUGCAAAGCCACAAGUUAUGCCAAGUCAUCAGUUAUGCUAUAGAUUAUGUGACCUGUCAUUAUAUGAUUAACUGCCUGUUUUGCUUCUGUAAGCCUGCUUAUAAAAAUCCUGCUCAGUCUUUGUUCAAUGCUCAGCUUUUUGGAUGUGAAUCCACUGAGCCAAUGCCUACCUUAAAAUAAACAUCGUCCUGUUUUUCCAUA
rnacentral:lncRNA from 1 species